UAUUAAUGACAAACCAGUGGCUGCACCAUGGCAACGGACCGAAGAAUACGUGGCGUGGAAACCAUAAGUAGUUUGGGGCUUUGAAAGAGCACAAACGGGAGAAAAAUGGAAAUUACAUCAUGUUCUCUCUGUUCUGUGCUAGGACAGCCAUGUACAGUCUAAUUCCCAGUGCUGAUCCUUUCUCAAGAAAGCUUCAGCUUUUCUGGAAAGAGUUCAGAGAGGAAAGUUUGUUGCUAUUUGCAGCAGCAAACAGCUAAGAAAUCAAAGGCAACAAUUCAUAACAGAGAUCAGCAAAAGUAGCCUGAGCUGUUGGUGGUGGUGAGAAAUGUACCCUGCAGAGGCAGCAAGGCACAGGGGCACGAACUGUGGGAAAAUCACAAAGUGCUUUAAUUCUUCCCAAGCUUGGGCAGUAGCCCACAUCUCGGAGGCAAGAUGGCACAUGAAACAUUCAUUUCCUCUUCCCAAGCAUUUCCUGUGGGGCCACCAGGUGCAUCUUUCCUGCAGUCCUGUGAGCUGUGCUGCUAAUUCAGCAUGGAGCUGGGUCACCUUGUGAGGCAGCUCUGGAUGGAGUUUGUCCCUGCAGUUAUGGAGGCUGUAAAUAACAGAGGUAUUACAACAUGCCUGACAGGGUUUCAUUGCGCCAUCACUACUCCGUCCGAAUAUCAUAUCUCAAAUUAAUAACAAAUUAAUUUUAUCUGCUGAAAGACCCCAACUGUCACCCUGCUGCCCGGAAUGAGAUAAUUCUGG
rnacentral:lncRNA from 1 species